UCGCAUAAAUUCGUCCCACUGCAGCCCCGGAAGCCAGGAGGUGCGGCCGAGGCAUCUUAGUAACGAAGCGGGCUCAGUGGCAUCCACCGCGUCCACAACCAAGAGCGGAGCAGCCAGGUCUGCCCAGCAUGUCGGAAGCUGGUGAGGGAGAGAGGAGCAUGGAGACCACGGACACCCCCAACAUGGACACAAGGCCGCUCCCGUAGGCGGAUCGCCCGCCCGGACCCGGGAGUCCUCAACCUGGAGCCAGAAGGCCACGGAGGCAGACCAGAUGACCUGCGGCGGGAGCCCGGAGGACGCGGGGCAGGUGCUGCGGGGGUGGGGGGAGUCUUGGUUCAGCGUCGUUGGGGAGCUGCCUGGAGGAGAGCGCAAGUGGCCGAGAGGAAGAUAAAUAGUUCGUUGGUGGCCUGAGCUGGGAUACAAGCAAAAAGGAUCCAAAAGACUAUUUUACCAAAUUUGGAGAGGUCCUUGACCAUACUAUAAAAAAUGGAUCCCAACAUUGGAAGAUGAAGAGGGUUGGGGUUUAUCCCCUUUAAAAAUGGAGAAGAGGUUGCAAGUAAAAUAUCCUGUGGGAAAACAAAAGAAGAAAUUUGGAUAACAGAUGUGUUGGCCCCUUACAGCGUAGAGCUGAUUUUGCCAUAUCUCACCAACAAUGAUGUUUUCUACAGCAUAUCAACCUCAAGGGAUGAGCUAAAUCAUGGCAUCAAGAGGGAACUAGCUCUUACGUACUUUGACUUGAAAAUGGAGUUUCAAAUAGUGGGCUUGAUAUCUAUGAGGAUUUAACGAAACUGCUGAAAUCAUAAAACAAAAGAUUGUUGAUAUUUUUUCCAAAUGCAAACUCAUCUAUCUGCAUAUUUAUCAGACAGUACAAAUGUAAAUUUUGGCAAAUUCCAUACAGUCUAUAAACUUCUUAACAGGGAUAAUGAAAAGAUCUUACCUAUUCAAUGACCUGCACAUCUUAUAUACAACAUCGCUAAAAAGGGUUGUGAUUGCUUAAUGUGAUACUGAGAUUUUCAUAAUGAAAGUUUGUGGUCAUUUUUAUCAAAUGCAAAGAAGCACUUAAUGAGUUUUUUUUACUUAAUAGAAAUGUAAGGAGAUAACCUCUGUAGACAUGUGCCUACAAGGGGGCAUCAUUGCUCCCAGCCAUAGAAACCAUGCUAAAAUGUUGGCCUACCAUAAAAUCAUAUUUUCAAAGUGUGGGACA